GAUGAACGCUGGCGGCGUGCCUAAUACAUGCAAGUCGAGCGAACAGACGAGGCGCUUGCUCCUCUGACGUUAGCGGCGGACGGGUGAGUCACACGUGGAUAACCUACCUAUCAGAGUGGGAUCACUUCGGGAAACCGGAGCUAAUACCGGAUAAUAUAUUGAACCGCAUGGUUCAAUAGUGAAAGACGGUUUUGCUGUCACUUAUAGAUGGAUCCGCGCCGCAUUAGAUAGUUGGUAAGGUAACGGGUUACCAAGGCAACGAUGCGUAGCCGACCUGAGAGGUGGAUAGGCCACCCGGGAACUGAGACACGGUCCAGAGUCCUAAGGGAGGCAGCAGUAGGGAAUCUUCCGCAAAGGGCGAAAGCCUGACGGAGCAACGCCGCGUGAGUGAUGAAGGUCUUCGGAUCGUAAAACUCUGUUAUGAGGGAAGAACAAAUGUGUAAGUAACUAUGCACGGCUUGACGGUACCUAAUCAGAAAGCCACGGCUAACUACGUG
rnacentral:rRNA from 1 species